rnacentral:misc_RNA from 1 species
GUUGGUGAACCAGCGGAGGGAUCAUUACAGAGUUGCAAAACUCCAACAAACCAUCGCGAAUCUUACCCGUACGGUUGCCUCGGCGCUGGCGGUCCGGAAGGCCCUCGGGCCCCCGGAUCCUCGGGUCUCCCGCUCGCGGGAGGCUGCCCGCCGGAGUGCCGAAACCAAACUCUUGAUAUUUUAUGUCUCUCUGAGUAAACUUUUAAAUAAGUCAAAACUUUCAACAACGGAUCUCUUGGUUCUG